GCUUCCGUAGCUCAGUUGGUUAGAGCUUCGUACUAAUAUUAGACUUCAUCGUCUAGCCUUAGUAAUGCGAAGGUCGCAGGUUCAAGCCCUGCCGGGAGCA
rnacentral:tRNA from 1 species